rnacentral:rRNA from 1 species
AUUGAACGCUGGCGGCAUGCUUUACACAUGCAAGUCGAACGGUAACAGGCCGCAAGGUGCUGACGAGUGGCGAACGGGCGAGUAAUGCAUCGGAACGUGCCCAGCCGUGGGGGAUAACUUCUCGAAAGAGUACCUAAUAUCGCAUACGAUCGAUGGAUGAAAGGGGGGGACCGUAAGGCAACGCGCGAUUGGAGCGGGUGAUGCUGGCGUAGGUAGUUGGUGGGGUUAAGGGUCACGCGGCCAACGAGCUGUAGCUGGUCUGAGAGGACAACCGGCCACACUAGGAGUUGGCCGGGGCCCAUGGGCCUGCGGGAGGGCGCAGUGGGGUAUUUUGGACAAUGGGCGCAAGCCUUAUCCAGCAAUGCCGCGUGCAGGAAGAAGGCCUUCGGGUUGUGAUCAGCUUUUGUACGGUACGAAACGGCUCUGGUUAAUACCCAGGGCUAAUGACGGUACUGUAAAAAUAAGCACCGGCUAACUACGUG